ensembl:snRNA U6 U6 spliceosomal RNA
AAUAUUUAGCACAUCAUUAAAAUUGGAAUAAUACAGAGAAGACCAGCAUGGCCCCUGCACAAUGACAUGCAAAUUCAAGAAGAAUUCCAUAUUAAU